CCGACGUCGCAUGCUCCCGGCCGCCAUGGCGGCCGCGGGAAUUCGAUUAGAGUUUGAUCAUGGCUCAGAUUGAACGCUGGCGGCAGGCCUAACACAUGCAAGUCGAGCGGUAGAGAGAAGCUUGCUUCUCUUGAGAGCGGCGGACGGGUGAGUAAUGCCUAGGAAUCUGCCUGGUAGUGGGGGAUAACGUUCGGAAACGGACGCUAAUACCGCAUACGUCCUACGGGAGAAAGCAGGGGACCUUCGGGCCUUGCGCUAUCAGAUGAGCCUAGGUCGGAUUAGCUAGUUGGUGGGGUAAUGGCUCACCAAGGCGACGAUCCGUAACUGGUCUGAGAGGAUGAUCAGUCACACUGGAACUGAGACACGGUCCAGACUCCUACGGGAGGCAGCAGUGGGGAAUAUUGGACAAUGGGCGAAAGCCUGAUCCAGCCAUGCCGCGUGUGUGAAGAAGGUCUUCGGAUUGUAAAGCACUUUAAGUUGGGAGGAAGGGCAGUAAAUUAAUACUUUGCUGUUUUGACGUUACCGACAGAAUAAGCACCGGCUAACUCUGUGCCAGCAGCCGCGGUAAUACGAAUCACUAGUGAAUUCGCGGCCGCCUGCAGGUCGACCAUAUGGGAGAGCUCCCAACGCGUGGGAUGC
rnacentral:rRNA from 1 species